rnacentral:lncRNA from 1 species
CAGAAUAUGGAAGUUCCCAGGCUAAGGGUCGAAUUGGAGCUGCCAGCCUACACCACAGCCACAGAAACACAAGAUCCAAGACUUGCCUGUGACCUACACCACAGCUCAUGGCAAUGCUGGAUCCUUAACCCACUGAGCAAGGCCCCUCAUGGAUGCUAGUCAGAUUCAUUUCUGCUGAGCCGCCAUGGGAACUCCCCUAAUGCCCACUUUCAUGUUGUUACUCACCUUCAUCCAAAAUGUCUGAAGAUAGCAAACUUCAUCUCACUACGGAAAAACUAAAACAAACAACUUCUCUCUUUUUUCCCCCUGAAUCCUGAUUUCCUAGACAUGUAAGAAAGUGAUAAUAACUUCGGAUUAUUAAGCCAUGACUCAAUUGGUUUAAGUCAAUUCCAAAAAUUGCCAGAGGUGGAUAUGAAAUUGUCUACCUGCUUCAUAACAUUUACGAUCUGAAAGAAAAAAAAUACUGAGCAUCGUGUUUAAAAUUAGGAUCCAUUUCCUUCAGCUACAUAAAGAGCAGUUGGCUCAUGUCCUUUUUUAGUAAUUGCCACUUUUUUUUUUUUUUUUUUUUUUUUUUUUUAGUAGUUCUCUCUUUAUUGUCUAGUUCUCCUUGAAAGCAAGCGCCACAAGAACAAAGGCCUGGUUGGUCUAGUUUAUCACUGUUUUCCCAAUACCCGACACUGCCAUGGCACACAGCUUGUUUUUUUGUUUUUUGGUUUUUUGUUUUUUUUAAUAUCUUUGAAUACAUUUUGAAAAUGAAAGGAAAUAGAAAUCACAUCAGGCUCUGUGUUAUUGAUACAGAAAUUUCCCUUUAGAAGAGAGAACUAAAUGAUAAGGUUAGAGGUCUACCAACUCCUCCUGAUUCUACCAGUGAUUAAAAGCCAGCAGUUUCAUUAUUUUGUUCUAUUCUGAGGUUUCCAGAACUUAAUUCUGCCUUUUAAAUUGAGGUCAGAAAACUGGUAGAGACUCGAAAUCCUCUGGGCUCCUUGCUCUUUCUCCACUCCGAAAGCUACUGUCGCCGUCAGCACUGUCUGAAUGAAUCUCCACUCUAUUAAACUGUUAUUUGGUCCUGAAGCAGGUCAUUUGUAGCCCAUCUCCCUGCUGCAGAAAAGAUCAGGAAAACACAGAGGAGGCAGGAUGAGAUGACGAUCUACACUCUCACAGUGGAUCCUCAUUGAAUUAACUCUCUCUCAGAUGACAGGUUCACAUUGUCAGGGAAGGGGGAGGUGAUGGAAACUUUCUGCAGGGAACUGUCCAGAGCUGGACCUGGUAGGAACCCUAAGGAUGGUGCAUCUGUUUGGAGAAUUGGAUGUCUUACUGCUGGGAUCCUGGAGAAUGUUAACUUCUUGAGUCAACUAAGUUCAGGUGGAAGCUACGUCAUCUCUCCAUCACCCAGUCACUGGGCUGGCUCAUGACCCCAUCAUGUUUCAUUGCCUCCUCCAAACUUGUCUCCCUGCCUUCAGCCUCAACCCCCGUGCUGCCUGGCAAUCUAAAAAGAAUAAGUAUUUAAUGAGCUUCAACACUAUCCAGAUACAUUAAGCGCAUUACAUGGAUUAACUUGUUUAAUCCUCGCAACAACCCAGUGGGGUAGGUAGGAUUAUCACCUUCAUUUUGCAGAGGAGGAGACAAGGAAAGAAAGUGGUUUGCCCAAGGUCUCACAUGCUACUCAGUGCUAAAGCAUCGUCCCAACCCAGGGCAACAUAAUUCCAAAGACAAUGCCAUUUACAUCGAUGUCACUAACACCCAUGUGACUGCUCUCAAGCCCAGAUUUGGCCAUAUCCCUUUUAUUAAUCUUCUGUGAUUCCCUGGUGCCUAGUUCAUGAAGUCCAGAUCCACAUCCUAGCGAGUUUACAAACUGGACUUAAAUCUAGGGCCCCAUCCUCUCCGUGAAUCCCUGACUGUCUCCCCAGCGUACCCAUCACUCCAUUCCAACUUCUUACUCUGUUUCAAAUAUGCUAUUCUCCUCCAUACCCCAAUCCUAUUGCGGGUGCUAUUCCUCUCCUUGGAAUAUCCUUCCCUUCUCUCCCACCUGGCAAAUAUUGAACGAUCUCUUGAAGUCCCAAGGUACAUCCUUGGAAAAGCUCUCUCUGACUGUCAAAGAAGAAACUCACCUCUCCACCUCUCCCCCCACCCACCCCCAGUUCGGCUCCCAGAGCACUUUGACUAGUCUUAACACAGCACUUAGAGUUUUGUAAAUGUACUUGCUCAUAGGACUUGCUCAAGACCAGAAAGAGUAAUUUAUUUGUCUUGACAUCUGGAGUGCCUACUCCAGUAUUUCUCAACAGGCAGCAAUUUGGCUUCACCUCCAGGGGACGUUUGGCAUUGUCUGGAAAAAUUUCUGUUUUCACAAUCAGGAGAAAGAGAGUGCUACUACUAUCAAGUGGGUAGAGCCAGGGAUGCUGCUAAAUACCCCAAAAUGCACAGACAAUGAACCAAAAAUUAUCCAACCCAAACUGUUAAUUUGCUGACAUUGAGAAAUCUGGUUUCUUUCAAAGCAAGAUUAUGGAAAGCAAAUUGACUGGUAGGUCCAUGAGACUAAAUACAUCUAGGAAACUCAGUUAAGGUGGGUGGGUGUGUUUUGGGACCUGUUCUGCCCUUGGAAAACCAACUAGAAAAUCCAGACAGAAUCAAAGAUUUUAAACUCCCAGGAAUCUGCUGUGGAAAAAUCUGAGAGAGAUAUGUGCUUCAGAGAUUUGCUGAUCUGGGCUUUCGGCGAUCAAUACUAUUUGACAAAGACAGGAUACUUGGUGUGGAAGGAAAUACAAAGGCACUCCAUUCAAAGAGAGAUUUUUUUUUUUUCCCUCCCAGGAGCUAUUCUGGGGAGGAAGAAGGGGAGAAUUAUCAGAGAUACAGGAGUGGCUGAGGAGUGUGAUCUCAUGGCUGUGUUCCAGAACAUACCAGAGAGUGCUUUAGAUAGAAAGUGUGGAAUCAUGCUUGUGUCUGAAGAAAUAGAUUGUGUUGUGUUGAGAUAUUUUAAGCAAAAUAUUGAGAAAAUCUUAGCCCCCCAAAGAAGGGUGGGGAAUAAUAAUAAGUGAUCUGGGCCCAAAAGAAGAGAUUUUGAGUAUUUCUUUAAUAAGCAAAUGAGGAGUUCUCGUCGUAGCGCAGUGGUUAACGAAUCCAACUAGGAACCAUGAGGUUGCAGGUUCAAUCCCUGGCCUUGCUCAGUGGGUUAAGGAUCCAGCGUUGCCGUGAGCUGUGGUGUAGGUUUCAGACGUGGCUCGGAUCCUGCAUUGCUGUGGCUCUGGCAUAGGCCAGUGGCUACAGCUCCGAUUAGACCCCUAGCCUGGGAAUCUCCAUAUGCCGUGGGAGCGGCCCAAGAAAUGGCAAAAAGACAAAAAAAAAAAAAAAAAAAAAAAAAAGCAUAUGAACUAAAACAAUUAUACAAGAUCUUUCUUGGGUCGCUGUAGAUAACAGACUAUCCAGAUUAGGACACUCUUGAAAAUAAAGAGAGGUACUGUGCAUAGCAACAGGAAUUAACUGAUUAAUGACAGGUGUAAACUGAGACUGUCCCAGGCAAAUUAGAACUUGUGAUAAUCCUAUAUACAUAUUCAGUUUUAUUUAUCCUAGUUUGGCCAUAGGUAGCACAGACAUGUAUACUGCCAUUUCUUCUUCCUACACCUGUAGCAGACAUUACUAAUCAAUUACAGCAUGCAUUCCUCUAAAUUAGUGUGUGGUAUUGAAAUCAUUCUCAAUACUGUAUCCCCACCCUUCACUACAAAUUUUCAGGUAUUGGAUAAAAGAUCAGAUCCCUGCCAUGGGAAUGAAUUCUACCUUUUUUAACCUCACUUAUGGCCCUGUCUUUACUCUCCCCCAACCCAUCUCCUGACAGGAGUUAUCAUUCUCAAGAACCUAGAAUUCUAUCUUUCCAGAUUCUCAUAGGGAGGCAAUGUCCUAGAUACAGUGGUUCUUUUAGGUAUUACCUCUAGACUUAUUUGAAUAUCUAGCUGUGCUCUUUUAAAAAUGCUAUACAAUGCUUUAUCAAUUUGGUGUCUAGGGUCAAUUAGGCAUGAAUAUUAAAUAUGUUUUUCAAUUAGUGGUUCAUAAAAGGAAACCCUCAGAUGGAUUUCUGCUUGUUGGAAGCUGUAGGGUUUGAUUAACAUGGAUGUUUUUCCCAGGGAGAGAUUCUGGUUUUUAUCCUGGCAAAUGCUUAAGAGAAUAUUGACAUGCUUGACUAGUUACUAAACUGAGUGGGAUGAACCAAGAACAAUAACUGAUGGGCUGAAAGCUAGAAGCAGUUAAGAUAUCCAUCUCUCUCUAUGAAUAUUAAUGUAUAACCAUUGAGAACAUGAUGGGGCAAGCUCAGGGGGUUUGAUAGGGAACUUUUCAAGGGUGACAAAACCUCCACUAUUUCAACCAUAAUGGAGAUCAGUUUCCCAGAAACAACGGACUCAAAGUAUUUUGUUUAGUAAAAUAGUGGUACAGAUUGCUAAAGAUUGAUCUUUAAUUCCACAAUCUUUCCUGUAAAUUGCUACCUGGUGAACCCUUUGUGAUGUGUGCCCACUAAAAUCUAACCUCAGACCUCACAGGCAGGCCUUAAUUGAAUCUAUAUCAAUUUUAUAGAGUUUAUAUCAUUCAGUAAUAAACAUAGUCUUUGAUAUUACCCAAGGUUUGUUCAUUAUAAAUUAAAUAUUCAUUGCAAACUAAAAUACCAAUAUACAUGUAAAAUGUUUAACUCCCUUUCUCAGAUUGAUAGCCUCUGAGUUGGAUCUAGGCUGCAGAUAUAUUUUCUAUGACCCAUGUCAUAUUUUAGAAGUUAUGUUUUAGCAUUUCUGAAUAUUAAAAAAUUUUUAAAUCAGGAGUUUUUACAUUUAUUAAAAGCAUGUUUUAAAAUUAAAAUCCUACUCUGAAACAAACAGAGUAUCUAGAAAUGCUAGACAUCCAUUCCUAUGAAGAUACUGGAUAUUCUACACUUGUACCUAACCAUACUUGUUUAUUAUGUUUCCUUUUUGUCCCCUCAAGGUAUUUGAGUUUUCAACUCCUGGUUUAGCUUAAUAAGUCAAUCACAAAGGAAUCAACCAUGAAAUUGAAGAUGUAGUCACCCAAGAGUAUAUUUUAAUUUAAAUUUAGCAUUAGCCAAUGCUUCAGGCUAAUAAUGAACAUUAUCCAGCUGUUCCAACACAAACACACAGACAUACACAGACACAAACACACACACACUCAGAACUUCAGACCAAGUUCUAUUCAUUCAAACAAACAAAUAUUUACUGAGGGCCCAUUCUGUGCUAGAAACAAUGUCAGGUAUUUUGAUAACAAGAUCAACUUGAUUCUUUCUUUCAAAAAGCCCAGAGAUAAGCAAGACAAAUACACAAGCUAAUGGAAAAUUACAGCACAGUGAAUCACUGGAUCCAGGGCUGCCCUACAGAAACUCUGAUGGGAAGCAUACUCCCCAGAUUUUUAACCCUAAACUUAUACCUAGUCUGGGGGUAGAGGUAGGUUUGAAUAAGUUUAUAUAAGUUUAUAACUGCCUUGGUCUUUUGGACUUUAAAAGGUCUUUAUAAAUUCUAUCCAGGUUAUGGUAACAGAAAACCAGAGGCAAGCUAUAACUGACUCACUCAAGGUCAGUGGUCUUAUACCAUGGGAAAGACAAGAACUCAAGAGCUGGGCAAUCUUAUUUUUUUCAGGAGAGAUACAAAUUCCAACCCACUGACUUGCAAGUGUGUCACUCCAUUGCUGAUAGACUUGGAAAAUUUUAUCUGGGAAGACUUUGCUUCAAGCCAUUGCUACAUAAAAUCUCCCGAUUUCAACUCCUCUGGGAUCAAUUCUGUCCUGUGGGCAUUCAUCUAGAAUACCUGGCCUAAAUAAUGAUUAUUUUGUUUGUGUGAUUUGGGGUCAAUGGAGAGGUCAGUUUUUAGUGCAGCACUGUGAGAUUAUUACGGAGACAUCA